GAUGAACGCUGGCGGCGUGCCUAAUACAUGCAAGUCGAGCGAACGGACGAGAAGCUUGCUUCUCUGAUGUUAGCGGCGGACGGGUGAGUAACACGUGGAUAACCUACCUAUAAGACUGGGAUAACUUCGGGAAACCGUAGCUAAUACCGGAUAAGAGUUUGAACGGCAUGGUUCAAAAGUGAAAGACGGUCUUGCUGUCACUUAGAGAGAGAUCCGCGCUGGAUUAGCUAGUCGGUAAGGUAACGGCUUACCAAGGCAACGAUGACUAGCUGACCUGAGAGGAUGAGCGGCCACACUGGAACUGAGACACGGUCCAGACUCCUACGGGAGGCCGCAGUGGGGAAUAUUGGGCAAUGGUCGAAAGCCUGAUCCAGCCGUGCCGCGUGUGUGAAGAAGGUCUUCGGAUUGUAAAGCACUUUAAGUUGGAAGGAACAGCAGUAAGUUAAUACCUUGCUGUUUUGACGUUACCAACAGAAUAAGCACCGGCUAACUUCGUG
rnacentral:rRNA from 1 species